rnacentral:rRNA from 1 species
UCAGUAACGCGUGGCUAACCUGCCCUCGGGACGGGAAUACCCCCGGGAAACUGGGGCUAAUCCCCGAUAGGUGAAGAACUCUGGAAUGAGUCUCCGCCCAAAAGACGCUUAAAUCAUGCUUUUAGGCGCCGCCCAAGGAUGGGGCCGCGACCGAUCAGGUAGUUGGUGAGGCAACGGCUCACCAAGCCUUUAACCGGUGCGGGCCGUGAGAGCGGGAGCCCGGAGAUGGGCACUGAGACAAGGGCCCAGGCCCUACGGGGCGCAGCAGUCGCGAAAACUUUGCAAUACACGAAAGUGUGACAGGGCUAUCCCGAGUGCCAUCCGCUGAGGAAGGCUUUUACCCAGUGUAGAAAGCUGGGAGAAUAAGGAGAGGGCAAGACUGGUGUCAGCCGCCGCGGUAAUACCAGCUCUCCGAGUGGUGUGGAUGUUUAUUGGGCCUAAAGCAUCCGUAGCUGGCCAAGUUAGUCCCCUGUUAAAUCCACCGAAUUAAUCGUUGGAGUGCGGGGGAUACUGCUCGGCU